CUUUUCUCAACUGUUUUGCUUAAUAUAACAUUUCUUAAGAUAGGCUUUAUUGUGGUUCAAUGGGAAAACGAGAACAGCGUGAGCGAUGUAAAUGAAAAGAAAGUCGUUGGCGCCGUGGAGUCAAAAGAAGGGACAACAGUUGACAUAUUGACUGGUACAAACAAGGGUCGAGUGGCCAUUUAUAGAGCUACGAGUUUGAAAGUUUGAGAUGUCAUUGAAUCCAGAUACAAAAUGGUCAAGCUUCUUGUAGACAAUCUUCACGGCCAACAGGGAAAGCUGUGAGCUCAGGAAAAAAAGUUUUCUCACCAAUAUCAGCAUGGUCAAACUGCGCCCAUAUGAUGCCUGAUGGUUUACCAGCUCGCUACUCUGAAACCCAGCUCCAAAAACAUUGUAAUGUGCUUUGAUGGAAUACUAUGGUCUAGAUAAGACACGAUGAACUUUGUCAUAGAAUUCAUUUACUUUGGCAUUUUGAAUGAAGAAAUGAGGAGCAUCCAGUGGAUAAUUGU